UCACUCUAAGCGGUGGAUCACUCGGCUCGUGUGUCGAUGAAGACGCAGCCAGGUGCGUGAAUUAAUGUGAAUUGCAGGACACAUUGAACAUCGAUAUCUUGAACGCACAUUGCGGCUCCGGUCACUCCCGGAGCCACGCCUGUCUGAGGGUCGGC
rnacentral:rRNA from 2 species